rnacentral:lncRNA from 1 species
GGGGCCGCCUCGGUGCGCCUGCGCAGCGUGCUCUGUAAAAAUGUGUAAUUACUGACAGUAUUUCAACCUACCUGUGUGAGUGUGGGCGCGUGAAGACGGACCUUCACCGUCAUUUUGCAGACAUGUAUAGGAAUACGUAUCCCAAUUAUGCAUUCUGGAACUGGGGAAAUGACCACAGAAUGGAUUUGGGGAUCCCCUGGACGUGCCAUGAGUUGGACCUGGCUAAAACUCCACUGAUCACUUGACCUGACAGGCGCCUACUCUCACGAGAGGGCCCCAUUACAUUUUGGAUCUCCUGGGAUCAAUGUUAGUUGAGAAUCCGUGUCCAGUAGUCCUCAAAAUGUCUAUUUUCUUUUCCUCAUUGUAUGGAUGCUCUGUGAGGAAGGAUGGAAGAUUAACAAUAUAACUUUUUGGUAGUGCACCAAGGACUUUCCUCAAGAGGACCUGGCCUCCCCUUCAUUCAAGGGGUUCAGGGUCUCUAAAAAGAAGUCUGAGAAUUAAAUUACUUGAGGGGUUUGUGCUGACCUCAGGCUGGGUUGAGGCCUUCCCAACCCAGAGAGAAAAAGCACAAAAGGUAACCAAGGUGCUGCUGAAAGACAUCAUCCGAAGACCCAGACUGCCUUUAACCCUGGGGUCAAACAAUGGACCGGCAUUUGUAGCUGAGUUGCAGGAACUGUCUUAAAUUUACCACAGUCAGCUAAAACCAACAGCCCAGGACAAGUGGACCAACUAGCAGGAUCCAGACCACCCAAACCAGCUGAUCUUGUGACAAUAUCGGGCCACCACUGAAAAC